rfam:Triticum aestivum genome assembly, contig: Triticum_aestivum_CS42_TGACv1_scaffold_249022_3DL
UAAAUACUCCCUCCGUCCUAAAAUUCUUGUCUUAUAUUUGCCUAAUACGGAUGUACCUAAUUACUUUUUAGUGUUACAUACAUCCGUAUCUAGACAAAUGUAAGACAAGAAUUUUGGGACAGAGGGAGUACUAU